rnacentral:rRNA from 1 species
GAUGAACGCUAGCGGCAGGCCUAAUACAUGCAAGUCGAACGGGAUCUGAGGAUAGCUUGCUAUCCGAUUUGAGAGUGGCGCACGGGUGCGUAACGCGUGAGCAACCUACCCAUAUCAGGGGGAUAGCCCGAAGAAAUUCGGAUUAACACCGCAUAACACAAUGAGUUGGCAUCAGCUUAUUGUUAAAUAUUUAUAGGAUAUGGAUGGGCUCGCGUGACAUUAGCUAGUUGGUAAGGUAACGGCUUACCAAGGCGACGAUGUCUAGGGGCUCUGAGAGGAGAAUCCCCCACACUGGUACUGAGACACGGACCAGACUCCUACGGGAGGCAGCAGUAAGGAAUAUUGGUCAAUGGAGGCAACUCUGAACCAGCCAUGCCGCGUGCAGGAUGACUGCCCUACGGGUUGUAAACUGCUUUUGUACGGGAAUAACCCCUAUUAUGUAUAAUAGGCUGAAUGUACCGUAAGAAUAAGGAUCGGCUAACUCCGUGCCAGCCGCCGCGGUAAUAC